GCCGUCUUAGCUCAGUUGGCAGAGCAUCUCACUAGUAAUGAGAAGGUCACUGGUUCGAGCCCAGCAGACGGCA
rnacentral:tRNA from 1 species